UACGUAGGGGGCUAGCGUUGUCCGGAAUCAUUGGGCGUAAAGAGCGUGUAGGCGGUCCGGUAAGUCCGCUGUGAAAGUCGGGGGCUCAACCCUCGAAUGCCGGUGGAUACUGUCGGGCUAGAGUGCGGAAGAGGCGAGUGGAAUUCCUGGUGUAGCGGUGAAAUGCGCAGAUAUCAGGAGGAACACCUAUUGCGAAGGCAGCUCGCUGGGACGGUAUUGACGCUGAGGCGCGAAAGCGUGGGGAGCAAACAGG
rnacentral:rRNA from 1 species